GCGCAGUUUUCUGAUUGAUUGCCUAGAAAGAUUGAAGAAACAAAUGGAGGAAAACUUUUAUGAUUUGUUAUUUCACAUUUGUGCAGCCAACUCUGCCAAACUUUAAGGAUUGAAAAAUUUAACUCUUUAAAGAUGCUAUCGUCUAACCACUAAUUUUAGUUAUUGCUAAAGGUACCUUGUCGGUUGCUAAUUAAAUUGUUCUUUUAAUAUUUUCUACUGCAG
rnacentral:misc_RNA from 1 species